rnacentral:rRNA from 1 species
AUGGCCCGCUCGUCCUCGCAGUCCCAGUCCUCCGUCGGCGGUGCCGGCGCCGCCGGAUCCCGCCCAGCCACCGCCGGGCCCCGCGGCACGCCCGCCGCCACGGCCGGCAUGCGCCGCCGACCCGGCCGCACCUCCUCCUCCGCGUCCGGUGGCGGAGGCUUCUCCGGCGGCGGAGGGAACAACAUGCUGCGCUUCUACACCGACGAGGCCCCGGGGCUGCGCCUCUCCCCGACCAUGGUGCUCGUCAUGUCCGUCUGCUUCAUCGGCUUCGUCACCGCCCUCCACGUCUUCGGCAAGCUCUACCGCUCCCGCACCGCCGCCUCCGCGUCCGCCUGA